CACUAGUGAUUCUCCUGGAAACGGGUGGUAAUGCCGGAUGCUCCAGUUGGAUGCAUGUCCUUCUGGGAAAGAUUAUAUCGGUAUGGGAUGGGGUCGCGUCCUAUCAGGUAGUCGGCGGGGUAACGGCCCACCGAGCCUACGACGGGUAGCCGGCCUGAGAGGGCGACCGGCCACAUUGGGACUGAGAUACGGCCCAGACUCCUACGGGAGGCAGCAGUGGGGAAUAUUGCACAAUGGGCGCAAGCCUGAUGCAGCGACGCCGCGUGCGGGAUGACGGCCUUCGGGUUGUAAACCGCUUUUGAUCGGGAGCAAGCCUUCGGGUGAGUGUACCUUUCGAAUAAGCACCGGCUAACUACGUGCCAGCAGCCGCGGUAAUACGUAGGGUGCAAGCGUUAUCCGGAAUUAUUGGGCGUAAAGGGCUCGUAGGCGGUUCGUCGCGUCCGGUGUGAAAGUCCAUCGCUUAACGGUGGAUCCGCGCCGGGUACGGGCGGGCUUGAGUGCGGUAGGGGAGACUGGAAUUCCCGGUGUAACGGUGGAAUGUGUAGAUAUCGGGAAGAACACCAAUCGAA
rnacentral:rRNA from 1 species